rnacentral:rRNA from 1 species
UACGGGGGGAGCAAGCGUUGUUCGGAUUUACUGGGCGUAAAGGGCGCGUAGGCGGUCGUGACAAGUCACUUGUGAAAUCUCCGGGCUUAACUCGGAACGGUCAAGUGAUACUGUCGGACUAGAGUACAGAAGGGGCAACUGGAAUUCUCGGUGUAGCGGUGAAAUGCGUAGAUAUCGAGAGGAGCACCUGCGGCGAAGGCGGGUUGCUGGGCUGAUACUGACGCUGAGGCGCGAAAGCCAGGGGAGCGAACGGG